rnacentral:tRNA from 1 species
GGGCUCGUAGCGCAGUAUGGAUAAGAGAAAUCUCCAGAAAGCGCGGCAGCCUCCUAAGCUGUAGGUCGUGGGUUCGAAUCCCACCGAGCCCG